UGAGCAUCCAUCACAUCAUGCAUAGUCACCAUAUUAUCUCUCUCCCCCAAAAUCCCAGACCUCACUCUCCUCAACUCCUGCAUAUGCCCACCAACCCCAAGAAUCAAUCCCAAAUGCACGCACAUAGUCCUAACAUAAGUCCCAGCUUCACAAGAAAUCCAAAAAACAACCAAAUGCCUAUCUGGGUCAUACUCCAACAACUUACUCUCAUAAAUUGUCC
rnacentral:misc_RNA from 1 species